rnacentral:rRNA from 1 species
CUACGGGGGGCUCCAGUGGGGAAUAUUGGACAAUGGGGGAAACCCUGAUCCAGCAAUGCCGCGUGUGUGAAGAAGGCCUGCGGGUUGUAAAGCACUUUCGGUUGGGAGGACUGCUUCUAGCACUAAUAUUGUUGGAGGUUGACGUUACCUUCAGAAGAAGCACCGGCUAACUCCGUGCCAGCAGCCGCGGUAGAUACGGAGGGUGCAAGCGUUAAUCGGAAUUACUGGGCGUAAAGCGCGCGUAGGCGGCUAGAUCAGUCGGGUGUGAAAGCCCCGGGCUUAACCUGGGAACUGCAUCCGAUACUGUCUAGCUUGAGUACAGGAGAGGAGAGUGGAAUUCCACAUGUAGCGGUGAAAUGCGUAGAUAUGUGGAGGAACACCAAUGGCGAAGGCAGCUCUCUGGCCUGAUACUGACGCUGAGGUGCGAAAGCGUGGGGAGCAAACAGGAUUAGAUACCCCCGUAGUC